rnacentral:rRNA from 1 species
CCGAGAAGGUAGGGGGAAUACGCCCAAGAAGUAAAUUGGAUUAACUACCCCGUAACAUAACGAUGUGGCAUCACAUUGUUAUUAUAGCUUCGGCGCUUCUUGAUGGGUGUGCGGCUGAUUAGAUAGUUGGCGGGGUAACGGCCCACCAAGUCUACGAUCAGUAGCUGAUGUGAGAGCAUGAUCAGCCACACGGGCACUGAGACACGGGCCCGACUCCUACGGGAGGCAGCAGUAAGGAAUAUUGGUCAAUGGACGCAAGUCUGAACCAGCCAUGCCGCGUGAAGGAUUAAGGUCCUCUGGAUUGUAAACUUCUUUUAUCUGGGACGAAAAAAGGCGAUUCUUCGUCACUUGACGGUACCAGAUGAAUAAGCACCGGCUAACUCCGUG